rnacentral:lncRNA from 1 species
CUCACCACCAACCCAUUAGGGCACAGCACAGACCCUGCAAACCCAAAGAAUACUUGAAACAAGGGUGCAUGCCAGGCUUUCCCAGACACGGCCAAGGGAUGCCAGGCCUUGUACCCCUGGAUCCUAGCCCUGCCCAGGCGAGAAGGCCGUUCCCUAGAGCUAAUGAGCUGCUUUGUAAUGUUGGACGGACUGUGCAGCGGCGGAGGGAGGGGCCUGGGGCUCUGACCCAUCUGGAAGAAAACCAGAUUGGACUAAAAGGAAA